rnacentral:lncRNA from 1 species
AACCAAGAAGGAAAAUUUUCCUCUAAACUUCUGCUAGGGGGAAAAAAUAAAAAAAAGGGGGGAGGAAACUUAAUUUUAAUUUAUUUUUUUUUUAAUUCCUUUCAGUCAAGCUGUUGGGAGUGUGGAGAGGCUGAGCAGUGAAUCCACCCAGACUGUCUCCCUUUGACUCUUUAGGAGGAACUUUUUGGAACAGUUCAUUUUAUAUAUAUUUAUUUGACAAAGCCCUAAAAUAUUAUAUAUCCAGUGAGCCUCCUCCUGCACAGUUUAUUUAAGUAAAAUAAACCUUUUUAAGGAGAGGAAAUGUCUAAUUUUACUCCUCACUUUUGGCCAGUGUGGGCUGUGCUGAUGGAUGAGAGGAGAGGGAGCAGGAAAAUGAAGGAGGAGAAGGAAUAAAACAUGGAAUAAGUGCUGAGGUUUUUCCCAGCAAACACACAGGGAAGGAGCUGAGCUGGGAAACGUGUUGUCAGCAUGACAUGAUCCAUCCAACAUUCCCAAAUAUUCCCAGGUACAAAAUCUUCCUCUUACACCUCACAUUUGGGCAUUAUUCUGCCCAAAGACUGGACUUUUCUGGGGUGGAUGUUCCGUGAGGG